rnacentral:rRNA from 1 species
UACGAGGGGAGCAAGCGUUGUUCGGAUUUACUGGGCGUAAAGGGCGCGUAGGCGGCGUGACUAGUCACUUGUGAAAUCUCCGGGCUUAACUCGGAACGGUCAAGUGAUACUGUCGUGCUAGAGUACAGAAGGGGCAACUGGAAUUCUCGGUGUAGCGGUGAAAUGCGCAGAUAUCAGGAGGAACACCAAUGGCGAAGGCAGCACUCUGGGACGUGACUGACGCUGAGGCGCGAAAGCGUGGGGAGCAAACAGG